GUGUCAGCCGCCGCGGUAAUACGGAGGGUGCAAGCGUUAAUCGGAUUUACUGGGCGUAAAGCGCGCGUAGGUGGCCAAUUAAGUCAAAUGUGAAAUCCCCGAGCUUAACUUGGGAAUUGCAUUCGAUACUGGUUGGCUAGAGUAUGGGAGAGGAUGGUAGAAUUCCAGGUGUAGCGGUGAAAUGCGUAGAGAUUUGGAGGAAUACCGAUGGCGAAGGCAGCCAUCUGGCCUAAUACUGACGCUGAGGUACGAAAGCUGGGGGAGCGAACGGGAUUAGAAACC
rnacentral:rRNA from 1 species